rnacentral:tRNA from 1 species
AGUAAGGUCAGCUAAAUAAGCUUUUGGGCCCAUACCCCACAUAUGUUGG